rnacentral:lncRNA from 1 species
CCUAAAACCUAGAGAAAAUAAAACAAUUUAAACUAUACUAUACAGUAAGUACAUUUAAUUAGUUUAAAGAGAAAAAUGAAGUUUAAAAAAAUGUAAUCCUUGGAGUUCCCACUAUUGCUCAGUGGGGUAAGGACUUGACAUUGCCUCUGUGAGGAUGUGGGUUCAGUCCUUGGACUCACUCAGUGGGUUAAGGAUCUGGUGUUGUUGCAAGCUGUGUCAUAGGUUGUAGAUGCAGCUCAGAUUCGGUGUUGCUGUGGCUAUAGAGUAGGCCUCAGCUACCAAUUGGAUUCAGUCCCUAGCCUGGAAAUUUCCAUAUGCUACAGGUAUGGCCAUUAAAAAAAAAGAAAAAAGGAAAGAAAAAAAAUGUAAUCCUUAGAAUAACACAGAGCCCAAAUAUUAAUAUAUUACGACCUUGAUUGGGUGGAAGUUUUACAAAGUAUAUAGACACUCUUGAGAAUAAGAACUAGAUGCUAGAAAAUAGAUAUGAGGAAAUUACUCAGAAUAAAAAUCAAAGAAGUACUGAGAAGAAAAAUUUGAGAGUUUAUGAGUUGCAGAAGCUAGAUGUUUUUCUGUUUUCUAAAAGCAAUUCUGUAGAAUUGGAUGGAAUAGAGAGAAGAAAUAAAGCUUACGCUUUGUCUACUCAACUUUAUGGACAAGUGUAUGUAGUCAACAGAUAUCCAAUAAGGAUAAUAGGACCUUCUACACUUUUUAGUGUAAUCUCAUUAAUCACUAAGGGGCCACAUUCAACUCAUCUCUUUUGGAUUAUGUUAUUACUGACUAUUCUCUUUCUUCCCUUCAUCAUUCGAAUUACUUUACUACCUCUAGAUUCAGUUUAAAUUUUGACAUUUUGAUAAAGAGAUCUCAGUGAUUCCCUCUCUUCCUUAAACUUGUAUAUCAUUGGAUCAGAACCACCCAACUAAAUACUUAUGUUCUACACUUUGAAUGGGGAAACAGGGGUAGCUAAACCUAUCCUGUCCACUGCCUGUUUAUGUAUUGUCUGAAAGCUAAGAAUGGUGUUUAUAUUUUUUAAUUGUUGGAAAAAAUAGUAUUUCAUGACAUGGAAAAAUCAUAUAAAAUUCAAAAUUUGGUGUCCCUUUCAAUGUCCAAUAAAGUUUUAUGGGAACACAGCCAUGCUCAUUUGUGGUCUGCAGCUGCUUUUAUGCUACAACAACAGAGUUCAGUAGUUGCAUCAAUGAACACACAUCCCACAAUGACUAAAAUACAUCUGGCCCUUUAAAGAUGAAGUUUGUAGCUUUCCCUUAUGGGUCAGUGGGUUAAGGGUCCAGUGUUGUCACUGCUGUAGAUUGAUGCUGAGACAUAGGUUUGAUCCCUGGCCUGGGAACUUCCAUAUGCUAUGGAUGUAGCCAAAACAAAACCAAAAACAGAUAAAAGUUUUCAAAUCCCUAUUCUGCACUACUUUCUGACUCUGUCAUGCUUAUGAAUUAUUCCUCGCAAAUUGCUUGAAAACUACUUGAAGUCAGGACUGUUGUCAUAUACUUUUUUUUUUUCUUUUUUAGGGCUGCACCCGUGGCAUAUGGAGGUUCCUAGGCUAGGGGUCAAAUUGGAGCAGUAUCUGCUGGCCUACACCACAGAUACACCAACACAGGAUCCAAGCGGAGUCUGCAACCUACACUUAUAGCUCACUGAAAUGCUGGACUCUUAACCCACUGAACAAGGCCAGGAACUGAACCUUCAUCCUCAUGGAUGCUAGUUAGAUUCAUUAACUGCUGAGCCAUGAUGGGAACUUUGUCAUAUACUUCUUAAGUCUCUUCUCUUGACUCCAUGUAAGACAGCUUUGGAUUUUCUUGAACAAAUUUUGCACGUCAAGCACAGGAUAUUAGGAAAUAAAUCUGACUUCAUAAUACAGAAUAGAUUAGAAAGAAAGAGAAGUGAUCAUAGUUUAUAGGCAUUAAUUUAGAUCUGAAGGCAGAUGCUUUCCUAUGUUGUGACUGUGAUAUUUGUGACUUGGUUAAGUGCAGUGCUGUUGCAUAGGGUGGUGGAGGCAGGGACCUGGAAUAAGAUGAAGAUGGUUAGGUGGUACAGAACAGGACGGAAGAGAUGGGAGGAGACUGUCUGGCAGGAAGAAUGUGGUGUCCAUCUUAUACAACCCAGAAAGCACUGGAUAACAUGGACCAGAAAGCACCAAGGAAUGAAGAGGGAAGAGAACAGAUCCCCAAGGCACCCAGACGCCCCUGGGGGCAAGCAGGUAGAACAUAGCCAGGGAAAUUGGCUGGCUGGAUUGUGUUCUGCCUGAGAUUAGGAAAGAGAGACAUUACAUUUGGAGUAGUGGUGGUGUCUCCCUUGUGAAUUGAAUGCAAGAAUUCUCUUCAAAUUUCUUCCCCUUGCAAAUUCCUCCUUCACCCCCUACACGUGACCCAUUUUUAACCUUGAAGUAAGUGAUGGGUUCCAGGAAAUGUGUAACCAAGUUUCAGCACACCUCUUCUGUAAAUUUCCGUAAGGUCUAGCACCUCCUUUGUCACAUGGCAUUAUUCUCAUGUGGUGACUCCCCUGAAACCAUGAGCUUCAUGUUUUGAUAGAGCUGAUGUAUUACACAAAGUAGAGCUGGGAUAAAUGAAAUAGACAUAGUUCUGGUGGACCUUUUGUAAUUGGAGCUUAGCAGUGAAAGAAAUAGAUCUGUAGUCAGCUAAGUAGAGAUAAAGCAAAAGUUUAGUUUUAGGGUUGGUGAUUAUUUUGUAAAUAAGAUAUGCAGGCCUUCACAUAUUUGAAACAACCUAGGUGAAGCUAUAGAGAAAAAUUGUGUUUUAUUGUGGCAUCUGUUUUUAUUUUCUUUUUUGACUUCAAUUGUAUGCUUUUUAAUGAAAUAAAUAAGUAUUGGAUGUCUUGAGAGCUGUGUGAUUUCCUUUGAUAACUACUAAGACACCAGAGGUUUCAAUUGUUUUUGAUCUGCUUUGAUCUCCCUCAAGUACUUUUUUUCAGCAUUGUAAAUUUUCACAAUUUUUAUAUGAGAAUGAACAAGAAAAGUUAACACUGUCAUUGUACUUAAUUGAAGAAUAUGGCUGUGUGUACACAAUAAAAUCAUUUGCAGCCAUCAUCUUCAUCUUUUUCUCAAUAGAUUAUUAUUUAAUUUGCAUGUAUACAGCACAACUGUAGCAAGAACAAGCAAAUACUUUUUCUUUCCAAAAGAAAUAAUUAAAAAAUUUUAGAACAUUUCACAGUCUCAAAGUUUAGUGUCAAGGGAUUUCAAACAGCAUUUUUGCUUGAAACCUUAUCACUGUCUCUCUCUCUCUCUUUUUUUUGGACUUUUUGUCUUUUUAGGGCUGCACCUGUGGCGUAUGAAGGUUCCCAGGCUAGAAGUCCAAUCAGAGCUGUAGCUGCUGGCCUACGCCAGAGCCACAGCAAUGAAGGAUCCAAGCCUCAUUUGUGACCUACACCACAGCUCACGGCAACACCGGAUCCUUAACCCACUGAGCGAGGCCAGGGAUCAAACCUGUGUCUUAUGGAUGCCAGUCAGGUUCAUUAAUAGCUGAGCCACGACAGAAACUCCUCACUGUCUCUUAUAGGAAUAAGAGAAUGUUUAGUAACCAAACUCUAAAUAUACUAAACUCUAAACUUCUUGUUUGAAAAUAAAAACAUAAAACGCCCAAGUUGGCAAUCCUUAAUGGGUCCUUUCCAGGACUGUUUAGAAAACAAAAUAGCUAGGCUUUGUUUAGCUGGAUAAUUCAUCAAGGAUUUUUACUAAUAAUCAUGUACAGUAAUUUCAUGGGAGCACACUCAAUUUUGAUGCCAAAUCAAUAUAGCAUAAGUCAUGACGGUUUUCUGAAAUUUCAGCUUUCAAUCAGUAUUAGCCUUGUUUUAAAAUGAACAAAGAGGCAAAGAAAGGAGAAAGAUGUAAUGUUAAUAGACUUCCUUUUGUGAUCUCUCAGGGACAGGUCUUUUUAAAUACGGGGCUUGAACUUGACCUUCUUCAAUGGCACAGAGGUCCAAUGCAUGGUUUUUAAAGUUAUAUUUAAAUUUUAAUAAUUUUGCUCAUCGGAGGCAGUUAGAGUCAGACUCUCAAAACCUAAUCCUCAAUCUUUUAGUGUAACUGAUUAGCAAAGAAGGGAUGCUUAGGAAUAAAGCCUGGAAGAGGUACAUACAUAUUGUCGUGAUUUCUAUAUCUCAUACAAUCGAGCUGCUUUCAGAUCAUUAUCACUGUGGGUAUUUGAAAAUAUGACUUCAUAUAGAGUUAGUAUGGGAAAGUCUUUAAUUUCUUGAUAAAUCUAGUUGUAGGGAUCUCAUUAAAAACUAGAGGAAAAAAUUAUAUUCUCAGUAUUGGCAAAAUAGCGUGGAAAGAGGCACUAUCAUAUGCUGCUGGUGAGAGUGUAAAUUUUUAAAAUCUUUCUGGAAGGCAGUUUGGCCAUAUCUAUUGAAUGUCUCAGAAUUUUGCAUAAAACCUUUAAACCAGCAUUUUUACUUUGGGGGAUUCAUGCUAAGAAAAUAGUCAUCAAUGUUUGCAAAAUUAUAGCUACAAGAUUUUUAUGAAAGCAUUUUUGGUAGAAACAAGAACUGAAUGAAACAUAAAUAUUUAACAACAAGGCUUUAUUUAGCCCUUAAAAAUGAUACUAGAGAAAUAUUUACUGCCAGGGAAAAGGUGGGAAAAGCUGAUUAGAAACUGUAUGCAAAAUGUGAUUC